rnacentral:rRNA from 1 species
UCAUAGUGCAAGCGUCUCCAUACAGUCGUGUGAUAAGAUUUGGGUUUGUUAAGUCAUGAUUUUUUGACCCGAAUUCAGAUGAUCUAACCAAAUUCAGUACGAAGCUUAGUUAUUACUAAACGGAGGUGCCAACCGUCCAUUGUUGAAAAAAUGACGGAUGAAUUUUGGUUAGUUGUGAAAUUCUAUUCGAAUCUGAGGCUAGCUGGAUCUCCCCGAAAUGUGUUGAGGCGCAGCAUUCAUCUUAUUGAAAUUCUUAGGGGGUAAAGCGACUAUUUUGGCGCGGGCCGUGUAAACGGUACUAAGUCUAGGUAAACUUAGAAUACUAUAGAUAAUAUAGAAUAGUGAGACGGCGUGGGAUAAGCUUCAUCGUCAAAUGGGAAACAGCCUAAACCGUUAAAUUAAGGCCCCAAAGUGUACUAGGCUUAGUGGUAAAGGAGGUUCGCGUACUAAUACAGGUGGAAGGUUUGACUAGAGGCAACAAUCCUUAAACGAGUGCGUAGUAGCCCACCUCUAUAUCCAAAUUUUGUGUGUAAUCGAGCGCCAAAAAUUAUCGGGACUAAGUCUUCCGCCGAAAUAGCGAGAUGGUAU